rnacentral:lncRNA from 1 species
AUUGGGUCUAAAUUGGGGUGACAUCACUCUGGUUGGUAUUGAGACCUAUCUAAUGUUAUUAGAUAAAAUGAAGUUAAGAAAAAAAUAUAUAAGAAUAUGUUUCUGUGUUUUUUGGUGGGACCGCAGAAAAUAUAUAGUAACCGACUCAUCGCGAUAUGCGGAAUGGAAUAUUACGUACAGAAACAAACAAAGUAUUUUUCCAACAUACUUUCUUAUCACACGUAACGCAAUCUCUCCACAAUCCCAAACCAUUCUUAUCACACGUAACGCAAUCUCUCCACAAUCCCAAACAAAGCCUCAGUUCAGUUCAGUUUUUAUAAUUUUUUUUAAAAAAAUAUUUUUACUUUAGUAUUUUGUGAUUUAAAGUGUAUCACUAUCGUAUCCUGUGAUUUAAUUUUUCUCUUUUUGUUAUCCCUUUAAUGUAAAAAUUCUAAUUUCUUUUGCUAAAAUCACUUAAUUUUAAAAAAAUAAAAUAAAA